CAAAGAUAAAGGCUUCACUGGCUUUACUGAAACAGAGAGAGAUGGAGAAGGAAGACAAAGUCACACUAUAUGGAAUGUGGGCAAGUACUUACUCUAAGAGAGUGGAAAUGGCUCUCAGAAUUAAAGGCAUACCCUAUGAGUAUGUGGAGGAAGAUUUAGCCAACAAGAGUCCAUCCCUGCUUAAUUACAAUCCAAUUCACAAGAAAGUUCCUGUACUCGUUCAUAAUGGGAAACCCAUAAUAGAGUCGCUUGUCAUCCUUGAAUAUAUUGAUGAAACUUGGAAAAAUGCUUCUCCCCUUCUGCCUGAAGAUCCCU
rnacentral:misc_RNA from 1 species